AGAGUCUGCCUUCUCUUCAGAUUGAAUAAAUCUUUAGCCUUUUACUAAAGAUUUCUGUGGAAAAGAACUAUUCUGAGUCUUAAACCAAAUUUUUGAGGCCUUGCUCUGGCAAGGCU
ensembl:snRNA U5 U5 spliceosomal RNA